UUGGAGCAUUAUUCACCCCCCUUCAUAACAACAUUUCAUGAUGUGUUUGGUACAAAUAGAUUCCUCCAGUCUUCUAGACUCUGAAACGGAGCCUGCUACAGCCUCUUAAAGCAAUCUCUUGACUAAACCAGUUGUUACGCAUCACAAUUAUGCAAGCAGAAAAACUCAGCUACCAUGUGUUAAACUGAAUGAAAUAGGCUCUUCAAAGCUGUAUGGGGUAAUUUGAGAGGGAUCCGGCCCCUAACUUUCCACAUGUGCAUAGUUGUGCCAGCCAAUAAAGUCCAAGUUGCUCAAGACACCCAACCCCCAGUCUCUUAAUUGCAGAUAGUGUUUCUUUCCCUCCUAUCUUGCUGCUGCAGAGGAGUUUUAUUCAUCUCAUUUUAACCACACCCACGAAUCAUAAAAGGGUGUGGGGCACAACCAGCACCAGCCGUUGGUUCCAGACAGGCCAGCAAAGCACAAGUCCCAUCCACUUAAAGCGAGACAGAGAGCUACUAUGGAAGGAGGCCAGGCCCGUGCUGUGGCUCCAUCCUACCUUGGAUGGUCCAUCUUUACCACUUUAUGCUGUUGUUUGCCUCUUGGGAUUGCAGCUAUCAUCUUUUCCUCGAAGGCCCAAUCUGCUAAUGGUGUCGGGGAAUCAGCACGAGCUGCUGAUGCAUCAAGGACAGCCAAGUCCCUAAACAUCGCCGGACUUGUUUGUGGAAUAAUUUUGAUCAUCAUAUUUGUCGCUAUCAAAGCCACUCAAGGGUGAAGACAGCAUAUGCCGUGCCUGUUUUGCCAGCAGAUGUGUCGGAAAUCUCAGCAGAGCUUUUGUUGCCGUAAACUUCCCCUCGGCCACGCCCUGGACUAAACAGAAACAGAUGUCUGCAUGUGUGCACGCACCAGUCGUGCAUGUGUUUUUUCCUUUGUUUAUCUUUUAAUCAAGCGCCUGUAGAAUCAUGCCAGGAAUUUCCUUGUAAUGCAAGCCUGUGAUGGUAAACAUCAAAACACAUGUUUUUUGUAUAAGAAAAAAAAAUGCCUUGUCUAAAAAAAAAUAAACAAUAUACCAUGAA